UACGUAGGGUGCAAGCGUUGUCCGGAAUUAUUGGGCGUAAAGAGCUCGUAGGCGGUCUGUCGCGUCGGUCGUGAAAACUUGGGGCUUAACCCUGAGCUUGCGGUCGAUACGGGCAUGACUGGAGUUCGGUAGGGGAGACUGGAAUUCCUGGUGUAGCGGUGAAAUGCGCAGAUAUCAGGAGGAGCACCGGUGGCGAAGGCGGGUCUCUGGGCCGAUACUGACGCUGAGGAGCGAAAGCGUGGGGAGCGAACAGG
rnacentral:rRNA from 1 species